rnacentral:rRNA from 1 species
UACGGAGGGGGCUAGCGUUGUUCGGAAUUACUGGGCGUAAAGCGCACGUAGGCGGCUUUGUAAGUUAGAGGUGAAAGCCCAGGGCUUAACCCUGGAAUUGCCUUUAAGACUGCAUCGCUAGAAUCGUGGAGAGGUGAGUGGAAUUCCGAGUGUAGAGGUGAAAUUCGUAGAUAUUCGGAAGAACACCAGUGGCGAAGGCGACACACUGGCCCGAUACUGACGCUGAGGCGCGAAAGCGUGGGGAGCAAACAGG